rnacentral:rRNA from 1 species
GGACCCGCACAAGCGGUGGAACAUGUGGUUUAAUUCGAUGAUACGCGAAGAACCUUACCUGGGUUUGACAUGUUAGUGAAAGUUUUCUGAAAAGAAUUCCCUUUAAGAGCUUGCUCUUAAACACUAUCACAGGUGGUGCAUGGCUGUCGUCAGCUCGUGUCGUGAGAUGUUAGGUUAAGUCCUGCAACGAGCGCAACCCCUAUAUUUAGUUGCCAGCACAUAAUGGUGGGGACUCUAGAUAGACUGCCCGGAAUAACCGGGAGGAAGGUGGGGAUGAUGUCAAGUCAGUAUGUCCCUUAUACCCAGGGCUACACACGUGUUACAAUGGAUAGUACAAAAAGUCGCAAUCCCGCGAGGAGGAGCCAAUCUUUAAAACUAUCCCCAGUUCAGAUUGAAGUCUGAAAUUCGACUUCAUGAAGCAGGAAUCGCUAGUAAUCGUAGGUC